rnacentral:rRNA from 1 species
GUGUCAGCCGCCGCGGUAAUACGUAGGUGGCAAGCGUUGUCCGGAAUUAUUGGGCGUAAAGCGCGCGCAGGCGGCUUCUUAAGUCUGAUGUGAAAGGCUGCGGCUCAACCGCAGACGGUCAUUGGAAACUGGGGAGCUUGAGGGCAGAAGAGGAGAGUAGAAUUCCACGUGUAGCGGUGAAAUGCGUAGAGAUGUGGAGGAAUACCGGUGGCGAAGGCGGCUCUCUGGUCUGCAGCUGACGCUGAGGCGCGAAAGCGUGGGGAGCAAACAGGAUUAGAUACCCUGGUAGUCCACGCAGUAAACGAUGAUUACUGGUUGUUUGCGAUACAAUGCAAGCGACUGAGCGAAAGCGUUAAGUAAUCCACCUGGGGAGUACGUUCGCAAGAAUGAAACUUAAAGGAAUUGACGG